CUCAGAGCCGCUUUGUGCCGGGCCAGCGCCGACGCGUGGUGGGCAGCAGCCUGUGCGUCGCCGGCCUCCACCGCCUUGACGAGCUCCAAGCAAAGCUCCUCUGAAGCAAAUUAUAAGAAGUGGCCAUGUUUGCAACUGCAGACAAAAGAAGUCACAAGUGCACGUCGAUGUACAUGAACAUCACAGAGAAAGAGAAAACGGACCCCGUUGGGCCUCUCGCAGCGACGACAUGACCACGGUGGCCCACUCCUCUGCCUCGCGAUCACAGCGGAAGGAAAAGCGGAUAAAGUCGUGAGGCGGCGCCGUCAGACGCAUCUCAUGGCAGCGCGCCGACUUCACCUCGUAGUGCACCGAGCGCAGGUCGAACUCUACCAACUGGACGGGAAGAAAAAGUGUGUUAGUGUGUUCUCCUGCCCUCUACAGGGCCAAUCGAAACUCUCCGGCCCGGCUCGGAUCCAUGCUGAGCUGGAGUCGCAGAGCCUCGCUGUCUGCUCCGGGCAGGCACAAGGGACGAAUACCGGAAUGGGACACCGACACGCGGACGGACAUUAAGACUGUGCUAC